rnacentral:misc_RNA from 1 species
UUGUGGAGGAGGACGCCGAAGGUGGGGCUAAUGACUGGGGUGAAGUCGUAACAAGGUAGCCGUACCGGAAGGUGCGGCUGGAUCACCUCCUAACAGGGAGACAACAAAAUGUUUAAUAUUAUUAUUUUGUCACCUUAGGUCGAUCGGUAUCUCACGUUCUUAAUUUAUUAAGGAUUUUAUUUCCUAAGUUUUUUUCUAGGUCACACCCAUUACUUUUCCUGGGCCAUUAGCUCAGGUGGUUAGAGCGCACCCCUGAUAAGGGUGAGGUCCCUGGUUCAAGUCCAGGAUGGCCCAUAUCUCUAUGUUGGGGGUAUAGCUCAGUUGGUAGAGCGCCUGCUUUGCAAGCAGGAUGUCAGCGGUUCGAGUCCGCUUACCUCCACUGAUUACCACCUCUUCCAUAAUUUUAUUAAGGGAAUGUUUUGAGUAGUGAUCAACUUCUGAACGAAUCUAGCUUCCUAAUGAAAUAAUUAAGAUGCUGGAUUCAUUGAAUUAAUUUCAUUGUUUUCAGAGAACCUUGACAACUGCAUAGAUUUUUUUAAAGACAAUAAGCAUCUUUAUGAUGCAGAUUUAUUAUUUGUGCGAAUGCAUUAAUAACAAUUCUAUUAAGCUGAUGCUUCAAUUAUGAAGUUAUUGGUCAAGCUACAA